rnacentral:lncRNA from 1 species
CGGGGGUCAGAAACAGGUAGCAAAGGACGCCAAAUGGAGGCCGAUUUCUUGGUUUUGGCGAGUUGUUUUUUUCUUUUUGACUAUUUUGUUGUUUUCUUUACUUCACAACGGCUGCUUUCAGGGCCAGUUUGGUCAGCUUGGCAGCCCGCUAACCUCGAUGAUGGAGUACUGGUAGAUGAUCUCGGACGUAGUUCAAAAGAUGACAGGAAGCGUUAUCAGGACCAAAGCCGUGAGGCAGUGAAAUGAAGGUCGUAUCACCCAACAGCCUAGGACACAGCCCUCGGACG